rnacentral:tRNA from 1 species
GUUUUUCUUCUUUCUCAGGAC